CCUACGGGCGGCUGCAGUGGGGAAUAUUGCGCAAUGGGGGAAACCCUGACGCAGCAACGCCGCGUGAGUGAAGACGUAUCUCGGUAUGUAAAGCUCUAUCAGCGGGGAAGAAGGAAGACGGUACCCGACUAAGAAGCCCCGGCUAACUACGUGCCAGCAGCCGCGGUAAUACGUAGGGGGCGAGCGUUAUCCGGAUUUAUUGGGUUUAAAGGGUGCGUAGGCGGACUGUUAAGUCAGCGGUAAAAGCCCGGGGCUCAACCCCGGCGAGCCGUUGAAACUGGCUGUCUUGAGAUGUCGAGAGGUAUGCGGAAUGCGCAGUGUAGCGGUGAAAUGCUUAGAUAUUGCGCAGAACUCCGAUUGCGAAGGCAGCAUACCGGCGGCGAUCUGACGCUGAGGCACGAAAGCGUGGGUAUCGAACAGGAUUAGAUACCCCGGUAGUC
rnacentral:rRNA from 1 species